UACGGGGGGGGCAAGCGUUGUUCGGAAUUACUGGGCGUAAAGGGCGCGUAGGCGGCCUGCUAAGUCGGACGUGAAAUCCCUCGGCUCAACCGGGGAACUGCGUCCGAUACUGGUGGGCUCGAAUCCGGGAGAGGGAUGUGGAAUUCCAGGUGUAGCGAUGAAAUGCGUAGAUAUCUGGAGGAACACCGGUGGCGAAGGCGGCAUCCUGGACCGGUAUUGACGCUGAUGCGCGAAAGCCAGGGGAGCAAACGGG
rnacentral:rRNA from 1 species